rnacentral:rRNA from 1 species
CAGUAGCCACGGGAAUACGUAGGGUGCAAGCGUUAAUCGGAAUUACUGGGCGUAAAGCGUGCGCAGGCGGCUUGGUAAGUUAGAGGUGAAAGCCCGGAGCUCAACUCCGGAAUUGCCUUUAAGACUGCCGAGCUAGUAGGUGAGAGAGGCAAGUGGAAUUCCGAGUGUAGAGGUGAAAUUCGUAGAUAUCCGGAAGAACACCAGUGGCGAAGGCGACACACUGGCUCAUUACUGACGCUGAGGCGCGAAAGCGUGGGGAGCAAACAGGAUUAGAUACCCCCGUAGUCCCUGUCUCUUAUAC